GAUGAACGCUAGCUACAGGCUUAACACAUGCAAGUCGAGGGGUUUGCUUCGGCAAACGACCGGCGCACGGGUGAGUAACGCGUAUCCAACCUGCCAUCCAUUUUGGUAUAGCCCUCCGAAAGGAGGAUUAAUCCCGAAUAAUGUACCGUGGUCCCAUGAACUCGGUAUGAAAGCUCCGGCGAUGGAUGAUGGGGACGCGUUCCAUUAGGUAGUAGGCGGGGUAACGGCCCACCUAGCCUACGAUGGAUAGGGGUCCUGAGAGGAAGGUCCCCCACACUGGAACUGAGACACGGUCCAG
rnacentral:rRNA from 1 species